rnacentral:rRNA from 1 species
UACGGAGGGUGCAAGCGUUAUCCGGAUUUACUGGGUUUAAAGGGUGCGUAGGUGGGUAGGUAAGUCAGUGGUGAAAUCUUCGAGCUUAACUCGGAAACUGCCAUUGAUACUAUUUAUCUUGAAUACUUUGGAGGUAAGCGGAAUAUGUCAUGUAGCGGUGAAAUGCUUAGAUAUGACAUAGAACACCAAUUGCGAAGGCAGCUUACUACACAGUCAUUGACACUGAGGCACGAAAAGCGUGGGGGAUCAAAACAGG